rnacentral:tRNA from 1 species
GGUCCCAUAGCUCAGUAGGAUAGAGCGCAGGAUUCCUAAUCCUGAGGCCAUUGGUUCGAAUCCAAUUGGGAUCACCA